GACAGAGGAUGCAAGCGUUAUCCGGAAUUAUUGGGCGUAAAGCGUCCGCAGGUGGCAGUUCAAGUCUGCUGUCAAAGACCGGGGCUUAACUUCGGAAAGGCAGUGGAAACUGAACAGCUAGAGUAUGGUAGGGGCAGAGGGAAUUCCUGGUGUAGCGGUGAAAUGCGUAGAGAUCAGGAAGAACAUCGGUGGCGAAGGCGCUCUGCUGGACCAUAACUGACACUCAGGGACGAAAGCUAGGGGAGCGAAUGGG
rnacentral:rRNA from 1 species